UCUCCUACGGGAGGCAGCAGUAGGGAAUCUUCCACAAUGGGCGAAAGCCUGAUGGAGCAACGCCGCGUGUGUGAUGAAGGCUUUAGGGUCGUAAAGCACUGUUGUAUGGGAAGAAAUGCUAGAAUAGGGAAUGAUUCUAGUUCGACGGUACCAUACCAGAAAGGGACGGCUAAAUACGUGCCAGCAGCCGCGGUAAUACGUAUGUCCCGAGCGUUAUCCGGAUUUAUUGGGCGUAAAGCGAGCGCAGACGGUUGAUUAAGUCUGAUGUGAAAGCCCGGAGCUCAACUCCGGAAUGGCAUGGAAACUGGUAACUGAG
rnacentral:rRNA from 1 species